rnacentral:rRNA from 1 species
AGUGAACGCUGGCGGUAGGCCUAACACAUGCAAGUCGAACGGCAGCACAGUAAGAGCUUGCUCUUACGGGUGGCGAGUGGCGGACGGGUGAGGAAUACAUCGGAAUCUACUUUUUCGUGGGGGAUAACGUAGGGAAACUUACGCUAAUACCGCAUACGACCUACGGGUGAAAGCAGGGGAUCUUCGGACCUUGCGCGAUUGAAUGAGCCGAUGUCGGAUUAGCUAGUUGGCGGGGUAAAGGCCCACCAAGGCGACGGUCCGUAGCUGGUCUGAGAGGAUGAUCAGCCACACUGGAACUGAGACCCGGUCCAGACUCCUACGGGAGGCAGCAGUGGGGAAUAUUGGACAAUGGGCGCAAGCCUGAUCCAGCCAUACCGCGUGGGUGAAGAAGGCCUUCGGGUUGUAAAGCCCUUUUGUUGGGAAAGAAAAGCAGCAGGUUAAUACCCCGCUGUUCUGACGGUACCCAAAGAAUAAGCACCGGCUAACUUCGUG